rnacentral:rRNA from 1 species
UUAGUGGAAGCGUCUGGAAAGGCGCGCGAUACAGGGUGACAGCCCCGUACACAAAAGCGCAUGUGCUGUGAGCUCGAUGAGUAGGGCGGGACACGUGGUAUCCUGUCUGAAUAUGGGGGGACCAUCCUCCAAGGCUAAAUACUCCUGACUGACCGAUAGUGAACCAGUACCGUGAGGGAAAGGCGAAAAGAACCCCGGCGAGGGGAGUGAAAAAGAACCUGAAACCGUGUACGUACAAGCAGUGGGAGCCCCACCACUAAGCCAGUGGUGAACUCCACAUACGCAUCCUUUGCUGAGGAUACGGUUAACGGAGCGAAAGCGACGUUCAACCGCAAAAGAAGCAGAGGGGGCUUAGUGGUGGGGUGACUGCGUACCUUUUGUAUAAUGGGUCAGCGACUUAUAUUCUGUAGCAAGGUUAACCGUAUAGGGGAGCCGGAGGGAAACCGAGUCUUAAUUGGGCGUUAAGUUGCAGGGUAUAGACCCGAAACCCGGUGAUCUAGCCAUGGGCAGGUUGAAGGUUGGGUAACACUAACUGGAGGACCGAACCGACUAAUGUUGAAAAAUUAGCGGAUGACCUGUGGCUGGGGGUGAAAGGCCAAUCAAACCGGGAGAUAGCUGGUUCUCCCCGAAAGCUAUUUAGGUAGCGCCUCGUGAAUUCAUCUCCGGGGGUAG